GUUCGUUAUACGUCAAAAAAUCAAACAAGAGCAAAAUUUGUUCAACUUGCUGCGAAAUGAGAACAAAACCUAUGAUUUUAACAUUGCUAUUCAGUGCUUUGCUGCUGCACUUAGAGGCAGUCGAAAAGGGCGUAACUGGAAACCAUUUAGAUAUCAGUCGUAUUGUUAAAGUUCUCAGAAUUCCAGAGUCAAAUGAGUACCACAUAAAUAAUAUGCACAACAUGAGAAAAACAAAUGAAGCCAAGACUUUCAGUUCAAUUUUACGCAAAUUCAAGUUAAGAAAUCGCACAAGUUCCCACACUUCCGCAUUUAAAUAUUUUCUGAAGUUCCGCACGCAUCGUGUCCGUUUCACUCCAAGAAAAUUUCUGAAGCGCUUCAAACCCAAAAAGGAAUUCUCUCAAACACAUAAUCGGGUUAAAUUUGAUACUUUGCACAUUAAGCCCCAUUUAGCUGUGCUCUCUAAAGUCUCCCAGAAUCCAAGUGCAUUUGCGAAAAACAAUUAUAUUGUCUUACAGGGAAAACUUCAUCAGAUGCUGCAUGGCAAACACUUUUCGCCAAAACUGAGCGUUGUCAAGCUGAUGUACGCCAUAGUCGAUCGAUUUUAGGAAGCCCGCUACAAGCUGUUGCCCCCAUUGCCGUGCAAAGUCUCGCCAUUAGCUUCCAGUUGGAUUCAAAGUCAGAAUGUGGGAUCGGUUACAAUGAGAGUGGGAGAUGAUCGCAUGAGGGACAGUUUGAUGAGACUCAGGAUCAUGUAUAUUUUAUUUACGAUAUUCGAAACAUAACAAAACAGUUGAGAGAACAUUUCAACAACAGAAAAUCGCAAA
rnacentral:sRNA from 1 species